ACAUCGCGUUGAAACACCGUUUCCUGUACAAUCAUCGAAGUUAAGCAAAGUCGGUCCUGGUCAGUACCUAGAUGGGUGACCGCUUGGGAAUACCGGUUCUUGUA